rnacentral:rRNA from 1 species
AAUGAACGCUGGCGGCGUGCUUAACACAUGCAAGUCGUGCGAGAAAGUCGACUUCGGUCGAUGAGUAGAGCGGCGAACGGGUGAGUAACACGUGGGUAACCUGCCUGGAAGUGGGGGAUAACCUGGGGAAACUCGGGCUAACACCGCAUACGCUCGCCGUGCUUCGGCACGGUGAGGAAAGCUGGCCAAUGCGUGCAAGCUAGCGCUUUCAGAGGGGCCCGCGGCCGAUUAGCUUGUUGGUGGGGUAACGGCCCACCAAGGCGACGAUUGGUAGCCGGCCUGAGAGGGCGAUCGGCCACACUGGGACUGAGACACGGCCCAGACUCCUACGGGAGGCAGCAGUGGGGAAUAUUGGACAAUGGGCGAAAGCCUGAUCCAGCAACGCCGCGUGGAGGACGAAGGCCUUCGGGUCGUAAACUCCUGUCAGGUGGGAAGAAAUGUCAACGGCUAAUAUCCGUUGAUGCUGACGGUACCACCAGAGGAAGCCCCGGCUAACUCCGUG